UAGGGAAUCUUCGGCAAUGGACGGAAGUCUGACCGAGCAACGCCGCGUGAGUGAAGAAGGUUUUCGGAUCGUAAAGCUCUGUUGUAAGAGAAGAACGAGUGUGAGAGUGGAAAGUUCACACUGUGACGGUAUCUUACCAGAAAGGGACGGCUAACUACGUGCCAGCAGCCGCGGUAAUACGUAGGUCCCGAGCGUUGUCCGGAUUUAUUGGGCGUAAAGCGAGCGCAGGCGGUUAGAUAAGUCUGAAGUUAAAGGCUGUGGUUACCUANAGGUUUGGUCUUNGNAAACUGUUUAACUUGAGUGCAAGAGGGGAGAUGGAAUUCCUGUGACGUGAAUGCGAAUUAUGGAGGAACACCGGGGCGAAAGCGGCUCUCUGUGAAUCCNNNNCNUCUGGCUUGUAACUGACGCUGAGGCUCGAAAGCGUGGGGAGCAAACAGGAUUAGAUACCCUGGUAGUCCACGCUGUAAACGAUGAGUGCUAGGUGUUAGACCCUUUCCGGGGUUUAGUGCCGUAGCUAACGCAUUAAGCACUNNNCCCCNGCGNGNGNNNNNCACCGCAAGGUUG
rnacentral:rRNA from 1 species